UUUUAUUAAAUUGAUUUAGAUGUGUUGGUUAAACUUAAAUUGACAUUGGUUUAGAGAUUUUAGUUGGUUUAAUUCAAAUUUACAAAACUUGAUGGGUUAAUUGGGUAAACCAUUGAACCCAUUAACCAUUACAACCCAACUCAUUUUACUCAUCAAACUAAUUGACUCAUCAACUUAUUUGACCCAUCAACUCAUUUGAGUCAAAAUUUUCAACUCAUUAGAAUUCAUGGGUUGAGUUGAAUUGACCAUGAAUUUUGACCCAUUUUGACACCCUUAAUUAUAAGCAAUAAAUGAAUCAGUGAGGAGGUCAAGGGCCUUAUUUUGAGAGAAAGAGAGAUCACAAAGUUUUGUUUUUAAAAUU
rnacentral:sRNA from 1 species